rnacentral:tRNA from 1 species
GAGGAUAUAGCUCAAAUGGUAGAGCACAGGCUUAGCACACAUGAGGUCCUGGGUUCAAUACCCAGUACCUCCU